AUGGUUCGCAACUCUCCUGACCCAGAAAACCCUACAAAAUCAUGCAAAUCAAGAGGACCAAACCUUUGGGUUCACUUUAAGAACACCCGUGGAACUGCCCAGGCCAAAGGUCUGCAUAUCUGAAAAGUCACCAAAUAUCUGAAAGAUGUCACUUUUAAGAGGCAAUGGUGUGUCCCAUUCCGAUGGUACAAUGGUAGAGUCGGUAGAUGCACCUAGGCCAAACAGUGGACCUGGACACAGGGUCGGUGGACAAAAAAAGAGUGCUGAAUUUUUGCUGCACAUGCUUAAAAACGCAGAGAGUAACGCUGAACUGAAGGGUUUAGAUGUAGAUUCUCUAGUCAUUGAACACAUCCAGGUAACAAAGCACCUAAGGUGCACUGACGAAUUUACAGAGCUCAUGGCCAGAUUAACCUGUACAUGAGCUCCCCCUGCCACAUUGGGAUGACCCUCACUGAAAAGGGACAACUUGUUCCAAAGCCAGAAGAGGAGGUUUCACAAAAGAAAAAGAUAUCCCAGAAGAAACUAAAG